UACGUAGGGAGCAAGCGUUGUCCGGAAUCAUUGGGCGUAAAGCGCGCGUAGGCGGCCCUGUAAGUCCGUUGUGAAAGUCAAAGGCUCAACCUUUGAAAGCCGAUGGAUACUGCAGGGCUAGAGUCCGGAAGAGGCGAGUGGAAUUCCUGGUGUAGCGGUGGAAUGCGCAGAUAUCAGGAGGAACACCAAUAGCGAAGGCAGCUCGCUGGGACGGUACUGACGCUAAGGCGCGAAAGCGUGGGGAGCGAACCGG
rnacentral:rRNA from 1 species